AUCCCAUGAUGAGGAUAGGCGGCGAUGUAUUCCUGGAGCCUUUCCCAUGCUUCCGGGAUCGUCUCAUCUUCUAUCGGUUGGAAACUGGAUAUUCUUCCACGAAGGGC
rnacentral:snoRNA from 1 species